rnacentral:pre_miRNA from 1 species
AGCCUUCUGUACCCGUGCUGAGAUUUCGUCACAAACCGGACAACGAGAGGUGAUGAGACUUCCAAGAUAAGUGAAGCG